CCUGUAACGGUACUUCUUGCUCAGUGACAGCAGCAACCCACCUCCUUAUCCCUUUCAUUGGCUUAUAAACCCGUCCUUUAAACCACUAUUUGGGAGGUCGGGCCAUCAGUUUCGGCGUUUUUUCCAGAGAGGCAGGCUCACAGCGAUAUCGCGAGAGACGAGUUUCACUCUCGUUGCCCAGGCUGGAGUGCAAUGGCAUGAUCUUGGCUCACUGCAACAUCUGCCUCCUGGGUUCCAGUGAUUCCCCUGCCUCAGCCUCCUGAGCACCAACAGGGAAUUGCUCUGUCACGCAAGCUGGAGUGCAGUGGUGCCAUCUCGGCUCACUGUGACCUCUGCCUCCUGGGCUCAAGCCAUCCUCCCACCUCAGCCCUUCAAGUAGCUGGGAUUACAGGUUGUAAAAACCCCAUCAGGGCAGUGACUGAGUGUGUGUCACUGUGUGCAGCAUCCCCAGAACCUAAUACCAUGACUGCAUGGAACAAGCACCCGGAUAUAGGAAUGAAGGACGCUACUGGUGGCCCCGUCCAGUUCUGAGAAAAUGCUGCCACAAGCUACAAGAGAAAUCUGCUUCUCUGAAGCCUUUAAAGAUUUGGUUACUUUUUCAAAAUGAAUAUUCUUUAAUACACAAUUUCAAUAAUUUCUGAAAUGAGGAUAAUGGCUGGGUUUUUUUUUUUUUUUUUUUUUUUGAGAUGGAGUCUCGCUGUCACCCAGGCUGGAGUGCAGUGGUGCAAUCUCAGCUCACUGCAACCUCUGCCCCCCGGGUUCAAGCAAUUCUCGUGCCUCAGCCUCCUGAGUAGCUGGGAUUACAGGUGCCCGCCACCACGACUGGCUAAUUUUUUUAUUUUUAGUAGAGACGGAGUUUCACCAUCCAUGUUGGCCAGGGAGGUCUUGAACUCCUGACCUCAAGUGAUCCGCCUAUGGCUGGCUUUUUAUAAUAGUUAAGAAUACUGCUCCUGGAGUCAGAGGGUCUGGUUCUCAUCCUCUGAUUUUGAUCACAACUUGCUGCAUGAUGAUGAUCAAGUGUUUGAACUUCCCAGUGCAUCCAUUUCCUCCUGGGUAAAGUGGGGCUAAUACCGUUAAAGCAAUGAUGUAAAAAUUAAAUGAGCUAACACAAGUGAGCGUUCAGAAUUGCAUCUAGUGCAUGGGAAUCCCUCAUAAGUAUUAGCUAUUAUUAUCAGUGUGCUAUCAGCUUGGAACUCAUGUAGUUCUGCUACAGAUUUGUAUUGUUCCUGAAAACAGAAUAUGAGACCAAAUUGAGGCCAGGUGUAAAGGCAUCUGGACCUUAUAUCCCUGCUGUCUAGUUUCUUCAAGAGGCCAGAGAGAACCUCCCUCAACUCCAGCCUACCAAGUGUCAUUUAUUUUAAUGCAGUGUGCCCCCAGUCUUAGGAAAUGGAAUUCUUCAUCUUCCAAGGCCUCUGGCUGAGACUGGAGACUUGUGCCUGCUCCACUGCUUGGCUGGAUUAGAUGCCCUAGAAAGAUACUUUUAACUCAGAGAAACUGUGACUCCAUGAAAGGGUCAGAUCCCACCAAAAGUCAUCCCAGUUCUCCAUCAGUUUCUCUCUCCACUCCACCUCCCCCAGCCCAUCCUCCGUCUGGGCUCCAGGGCUCUUUCCUUCUGUGUUCCCACAGGAUGGUGCCUGCUUUUACCCACCCUCUAGACUUUGCCCCAGUCACCUCAAACAGCCGAGGGUCCAAAUUUAGUAAUAGAAAUUCACUUCUCUAACCACUUUACAAAAACAUUAACUCAUAACUCACGGAAACCCAAUGAAGUCGGUGCUGGUGGCACCUCCAUUUUACAGAUGAUGAAACCGAGGAGAGGAGGGAGGUUGAAUAACUUGGCCCAAGGUCACUUGCUGAAAAGUGGCAGAGCUAGGAUUCACUGCCUCUGGUUCACUGCCUUGAAAGGAAGGAAAGUCUCCCCACUCCCACCACUGGGGAACUCUUCUUUAACUUUCUCCACAGUAUCAUUGGUCCGAUAAAUGAGAGGCAAGGAGAGAAACAAAGAUGGAUGUAUGUAUAAACUUAGGCAAGCAUGGAGAGCCAUGGUGAUGUGGUUAAGUGUUAGUUCUUGAGCUGAAUUGCACUGGUUAGUGUCCUGGAUUUUGAAUGUACUAACCCUGGAAAAUAAAAUUAGAAUAAUAAUAAGUGUACAUACAUACCUUACAAAGUCAUUUUGGACAUGAAGUUAAUAAAUAUUAAGCCCCUUAGAACAAUGUCUGGCAUAUAGUAAGUGCUCAAUACUUGUUAUCUGCCUUUUUUUUUUCUUUUUACGUUCUCAAAAGGCAGAAGCAGCAAUGCCUUUGUAUAAAGAAUGGUAGACUUGGAAUCAGAAGAUUGAGUCUGAGUACCACUUAGCUUUUGCUUCCUGUAUGAUCACCAGUGAAGCAUUUUUCCUCUGUGAGGCCUUGCUGUUUUCAUCCCUAAAAUUGGGAUGAUGAUACUUUUACACACUGAGAUGGUGGCCUAUGAAAGAGCUUUGUAAAUUUGCAAGCUGUGGCCAAAUAAUUAUCCCAUUUUGUGAUUUAGGACUUCUCCUAGAGUAGACAGAAAGUUGCCUUUCAGAAGGUCUUCAGACUCGCUUCUUGGCCUUUUGGCUAAGUUCAAGUGCAGAAAGUCUUCAGACUGAAAAUACCUUCAUCUUUUAGAAUUCCACCACUGGAGAGUCAUUGUCCGAGUCUUCCAGACUUACUAAGAUAAAUGGCAGGAAGUAGAGAGCCCAGUGUGUUUGCGGGGAGAGAAGAGAAGUCUCAGGAAUAUGACUGCCGUCUUCAAGGAGUUGAAAGGCUGUCACAGGGUGGCCUGGUCAGACUUCUGAGUGACCAACAGGUAAGAACUGGGUCUCUAAGUGGAAGUGUCAGGGCUGAUUUAGUGUGAAAAAAGAAGAGCAUUCUUUUGAUUAUAGCUCUCGGAAAGUGGAAAGGGCUACCUGAUAGUGAGUGCCUGCCAUUGGAGGCAUUCAAACAGAGAUUUGAGACCACUCCAUGGGAAUGUGGUAGAGGAAAUGUAACGAGUCAGGUGGUGAUGAAACUAGUUGACCUGGGCCUGGGAAGAUCUAAUUCAUCCUAGAAUGGCAGCACGCUGUGAGGGAGGGGAGCGCCUCUGAGGGAGCGGAGAGCUGGUUAUGCAGGGACGCAGGAGGAAAGUAUAGGGGGAGGCCUGCUGGGAACACAGGCCCAGCUCAGCAGAAUUCACUCUUUUCCCAGAGUAGCUCCUGUCUCUUCGGCCACUUUAGGCCCUAAAGCCUAGAACUGUACAUGAUACACUCAUUCAUUCAGUUAAUUCAGCAAAUAUUUACAGGCCUGAGAGUCAAUUCCCACAGCGGACACAGUGUGGGAUUGCCUGCCCUGGCAAGCCUCCUGCCUGGUGACCAGCAGAGGGCAGGAGAGACGUGCAGAUGCCAAACCCUGCACAGCCCACUAGCCAAGUGAGCUUCCCUGCCGGGGAAACUGGGUCACUCAGUCCUGCCAAGCUGCAAACAUUCCGAGGGUUGUGAGCAUGUUGGGCCUCUCCGGCAAGGGCCUCUCCAGCAAGGACCUCUCCAGCAAGGGCUAUGAGGCCCUAGAUGUCACCUGGCAAGGCUGAGACCUCAGACCUCUGGACUGGCAAAGUCGCUCCCUCCUGCAUGGGGAAGGAAGGAAGGAUGAGGCUGAUAACAUGCGAUGGCUCAGGGAGAAGGCUGAAGGGAUCUCUUCCCAGCAAAGUGUUUCAAGUAACAGGGACAGCCCAGUCUACAUGUCACAGAGGAGCCAUGGGAGGCCAGGCCUGCCACGGUGGAUGGGUGGGGCCGUUUGCUUCAGAGAAUGCCUGGACUUCACUAAAGGAGUUUGAGGCUCUCCUUAGGCUGGGCUGAAACCCCCAUUUGGAAGUGCAUAAAAGGCUAACUCUCUGGAUAUGAAUGGGUGAAUGCCAAAUCUGAUACCUGAGUGGUUAGGAGGCAGGUUUGGAGUCAGAUUUGCCUUUGUGUCCUGGUUUUCCAUCUAUAUGUCAUGGGACCUUGGGUAAGUCAUUUUCAGACUUGAUUUCCUUUUCUAUAAACUGGUGGUGCUACUGUGAGUAUUAAGUGGAAUAAUGAAGCAAGUGUGCAGAUUGCGAUUCUUUCUCCUUCCCAGCUCUCUCUCAUCCUGGUCGGGGGACUGUGUGCUUGGGAUAACAGUUGAAGCAGAUGUUUUUUUGAGAAUGGAAGCGAAGAGUGGAUGCCCACCAUGCUGUCAGUCUGGGCAGGGUGAACUCAACCUGAAGGAAUGCUGUUCUGGGUAAAGCACGUGGAGCCACCUCUCCCCAGGCUUCUCUGGCCCCCAUAGAGUCCUGCUGCAGAAAGAUGCGCAGUGUAUGAAGGCUCGCGUGGCCUCUUGAAGUCUGAGGGUUAAGAAAUCAGGGAGGUGAAAUAGGCCUGGAAUGGGAGGAAACUGGAGGAUGGAAUGGGAAGGAGCCAUUCCCCAAAUUCCCAUUCCAUUUAUGGACUCUGACGGUUAGAAGGGCCACUUGAACCUGCAAGCAAGGACCAGUUUAUGCACUCUUCAAAAUGUGUUUUCUCAACUAAUCUAAGACAUUGAAGCAAGGACUUUGUUGCCCAUUCCUCUCCAGGAGGGAUGGUGGGUGCUGAUGCUGCUAUGUAAAGGCUCUCAGCACCGUGCUCAAUACUUGUUUGCUAUUGAUGAGGAAGGAAUCUUGGACAAGUAAUUUGAGUUCCCAGUUUUACUGAUUAAAAAAUAAAUAGAACUGAGGCUCAGAGAACUGUGGAACCAGGAGAGGUAAAGUUCCUCUCAUUUGCAAUUGCUGCUAGAAUCCUCAUCUGUGACCAUCUGGAGAAAGUGGCUCGAUCCCUAUGGUGAGCUGCUCAAAUCUUGGAGUCUCUCUGCCUCCUUGGGGAUUUCUCUUUGGAUACAUCCUCUCUACUAAACUCUAGCCACUGCUUGUGUUACCCAACCCCAGAUGGGAGACAGACUGAGUUUUCCUCAUUCCAGCCUAUCCUUUAGGGCUCCAAGGAGCAGCAAGUGCUUCUCAGGUUGAGGGGUAAUUCACCAGGUGUGUAGUGCUGGCAGCACAAUGUGAUAGAGCCAGUCACCUGCAUUGCAAUUCCAGCACCACCAUGUACUGGCUGUGGGACCUUAGGCAAGAUACUUGAUAUCUACAAGUCUCAGUGUCCCCAUCUAUAAAAUAGGGACACUAAUAGUAUUUACCUUAUAGCUCCUGUUCUUUCCAGUCCCUCUUAAUCUGAAAUUGGAAGGAUGAAUAAAUUAAACAGCCAUCUUCUUCCCUGGGAAAGCCAAAGAGCAACUCAAAAGGAAAGAAUCGGAAGCUGGGCUUUGGAGUCUUCUUGUCCAGGCACUAGGAGCUGUUGGGUGGUGUAAAUAGCCCUGGGCUGGGAGAGAGGACCAUGGCCUAGCACAUCUCUGCUAUCAGAUUGCUACCUUAUCCACAUUGCCAAGCCUCUUUGGGCCUUAGUAUCCUCCUCUGGACAAUGACAAGGUUGAGCUUGCUGACCAUGGAGGUCCCUGUAGCCCUGCCCCUACUGAGAUUCUCAGCCGCAGAGCUGGGCCCUCGUUCUUUGGGAUUCAGCCCAGGCGUCACACAGUCACAGUGGCUGAAGAGGCAGCACUUUGCUGAGCUCUGGCCUACUUCCCAGAGAAGGUCACUCGGCCCCAGGGAAGCCCCUGGUUUGCUGGUUUGGAUGCUGUGGAGGGCCAGGCAACAGGGACCUUAGCCUAUUGGCAUCUGGUUCCAGCCAAAGCUUUUCAGGGACGUGUGAGGGUAAGCAGCAGGGCUGGCAGAAGCAGUGAAAACCAGCCCGGAGCUUACGUUCUGUGGCCUUGCUUUGAAAUCUACAACCUCAGCCACCUGGGAAAUGAUGAAGCUCUGAAAAGAAACACUGGUCAGGGGCCCAGGGGAAGUUUCCUCCUGAAAGGCCUGUGUGAGGAUGGAUUCCAUGUGAGGGGGAAAGUAUUGAUAGAAGGAGGCUCUGCAAAGGAAAGCAAGCAGGGAAGGAGCAGGUCAUUAAAGGAUUCAGAUGGGCUGGCUUGGAGGACUUUCUGAACUGUGAGAACUAGAUGUGGUGUGGACUAUAAACAUGUGGGGGUAGGAAGUUGGAGAAGAAAGAACUCAGUGCCAGAGGGCUGCAAGAUCUUCCAGGAGGUGCCUUAGAGCUGGCUGCUCUCGGCUCUCAGGCAGGGGAUUGGUUGGAUUUCCUUCCUCAGGCAGUGAACUCUCCUAGAUACCGGACUCAUUCAUUUGACAGCUAAUGCCUGGUUAUAACUGACUCUGUAAAGUGUACUCCCAUGUGUUGACUCAUUGGAUCUAAUGACCACUGUCUGGAGUCAGUGGAGACUGGUAUGAUUAUGAUCAUCCGUGUUUAGAGACAGAAAAGCAAGGGCCACUCAGAAGUGCCUCAUGCAGGGUCACCCAGCUUCCAAGGCUUGGGGUUGAGAUUUGAACCCAUGUCUAUCUAUCUUCGAAUCCUGUGUUUAUUACAUCAAGAUGCCAACUCCCAGUGUCCUCCUAUUACCUUGUAGCAAGGGUAGACAACAUCCUCCUACCUUUAUCACAUGCAGACUGGCCAGAUUUUGGUGGAAAUGUAGACAUUUUCAGGGAAAACCAGAUGCUCUGGUUGCCUAUCCCCACUGUGAGCAGGAAAAUAGCUCAGUAUUCACAGGGUCACCAGGAGAAUGCCUAGCAUUAACUUAAAGUAGUCCUCUAGGCUCUCUCCUUCCACAGGCCCACAUCUUGGGGCCUGAUGUACUCUGAGGUCCACCUGGAUCUUGAUGCCUCCACUUCCGCUUGGUGACUCCACUCCAGGACUUUUUGGUGACUCAUGCAGAGGGAAAAUACAUGGCCUUACAGAGCCAGGCAGAGCCACUGGAGUCCUGAUGAAGGCUCUCUUAACCAGAUGACCUUGAGCAAAUUGCUGAGCCCUCCAGGCCUGGGUUCCCUCAUUUGUUAAAAUGAUGACAACCAACUACACCAAACAAAACUUACAGCUUUGUUAUGAGAAUUGAAUGAAUUAACCCAUGUGAAGCCACCUCAUUCUAAGGAGAUAUUCAAUAAAUGCCCUUUUUCACCGCAUAGGAGUGGGAAACUUUGUGGCAAGAAGAAAGGUUAUGGGAAUGAUAAUCACUGAGCACUUAAAACAUACCCAUUAUUAUGCUCAAUUCUUUACUCAAAAUGUGCUAUCUCAAUUAAUCCUCCCAGCACUCCUAUGACGCAGGUAGUAUGCAUCCUCCAAUUUGCAGAUUAAAAAACUGAUACCUCAAGAUGUUAGAUUCCUUGUCCAAGGCCAACGUGAUCAGGAAUCUGAUGCGGAGCUCAAGUACUGAACAUCUAAGAUGCCCUGCAACAAAUCCUGCUCUCCUGUCGUGAUUGGAGCAUCCCUGCCUGAAAUGCACUCUCAUUCCAUGUUUAGAUUUUUGAUUCAAAGAAGCAAGAGCCUCCUGUAGGGAGAUUCCCAUCUCUCAUGCUAGGCCACUCCCUCUCCUAAGCGCUCAGAAACUGUGCUUAUGUUUAACCCUUAGGCUUUCCAUGUAGUGUUAUACAUACGUAUGCAUGUCUCCUACCCUAGGCGAUGCUCUUUGAGGGCAUAGACAGAAUCUUAUUUUCUUUCUGUUUCCUCCCCACAUAACUAUUACCCACAGCACUUUGUAUGCAGUAGACUUUUCAUAAAUAUCUGCUGACUUGGAGUGUGUGUGAGGCAGGGUGAACAGGGAGCAUGAGAGAGCUGGAUUGGAAUUCCUCCUCCCACGGACUGUGGCUCUGGGCAAAUUACUCAACCUCUGUGGUUCUCCCUCAGUUUCCUCACUCUAAAAGGGGGUGAUAGCAUUUGCUGUCAAGGGGUUAUUAUGAGGAAAUGAAGUGAAAAAAUGCAGGCAAAGCAUUUACAUAGUGCCUGGCACAUAUUCCACACUCCAUCAGUGAUAUGUAUUCUAGUAGCUGCAGGGUGGUGCCUGGACAAGGUGGAUGGUCAUAAUGAGGAAGGAAAGAGCCCCAGGAGGCAUGAGAAACAAGGGCCUACUAAAGACCACACUUCCAAGGGGAUGGAACAGAGAUAGAUAAAAAGGAAGGAGAUAUUUUAAGGAAAGCUCAGUAAAAUGGAGAGGAGCCAACAAAAUGAAUGUGAGGCUGCUGGGAUAAGGGGGAAAGGAACUGAUUAGAAGCAAGAGAAGCCUGGAGCCAUGCCCCAGAGACUCUAUCCAGGAUGAAAGGAGGGGCCUGGAGAAGAGGUAGAUGUGCCCAGCCAAAAAGAGAAAAGGGCCAGGAGUGGGGAGGGGGUGACUGGGAAGAUGACAUUACAAACUAAGGUGGCUGUGGAAGGAGCAGUAUCUGCCUGGAUCCAAAAAGAGGAUCUGAAAGCCAAAAAGGAUGAAUAAUCCAGGCAUCGGGCUCAAGGCAGGAGGCAGCUGUUCAUUUGUGGCUUGAUGAGCACUUGACUAAGGUAGUUUAAGAAACUACUUCUAACGCAGUUUAGACUCGCUGGAGCAUGUGCCUCACCGAAGACCCCACCCAGCAGGCAUCACAGAGUAGUGGAAGCGGAAGGACCCCCAGACCCAUGGACACAGUCUGAGGAGACUACCGCCCCUUUCAUCCCUAGGGUGGGACAGCGGGAAAUUGCCAGAGACAGUCCGAGGAAGGCCUUCUGUCCUGUGCCUCUUUGGUAAAUCAAGCAGCGUCUUUCUGUGCAUCAAAUCUAGUCUCUGAAACUUGAAUCCAAAUUUGCUGACACAGGGGCUUCUAUCUGCAAGAGGUAUGCAGGGAUGGCCAAGGUCAGGGGCUCCUUUGACCACUUAGAAUCAGAUCUGGUCUCAGCUGGAGUCCUUGGUCCCUCCUCUGACCAUCACUUGGCCCCAUUCUCCACAGCGAGAGGAAGAAGCUUGCCAAGUGGCAAGAGUCAAGUCAUCGGCCUGCAGGGAAAGAAAUGUUCUUUCUGGCCUCAGGAUCUGAGCAAGAUUGUCCAAAGCAAUUUGCAGACUAACUUGAAAGGCGACAUGGACAGGAAGGUGUCUGGGGAAGCAGAAGGCCCCUCAUCCACAGAUCCUUGAGGCAGACAUGCCCUGCCUGUUAACUAGAAAUAGUACCAGGCCAGGAGCCCAGAGGAGCACCCCCAACCAGAUGUGAUGACAGCCUGUGCACAUAUAUGUAUACAUGUGAGUGCGCCUUGUCUCCUGGCUCCUUUCACUCCAGGGCAGGUACGGGUUGGUAGCAUGGGCUUGUGCUCUACUCAGUUAUUCAGGGACCUGGGUGGCCAUGGUUUUGCCGUCUCCAACCAAGGCUGCCCUGGGAUUUGGUGUCCAGUGGAUGCAGAAAGAAAGAACAUUGAGACCACACUGGGAUGUUUUUACAGUCAGGUCUGAAAGUGGCACACAUCACCUCACACUCCACUGACCAAAACUCAUUCCCAAGAACACAGCUAACCUGCAAGGCAGCCUGGGAAAUGAAGCCUAGCCAUAUGCCAGAGAAGGUGAGAUGGAUUUGGUGAUCAAUCAGCAAUCUCUGUCACAUGCCUAAAAGCACAGAGGACAUUUUGCGAUAGAGGAUUGGGAAGAAGCACCUGAGAACGGAACAGAUGGAAAAGACACGGGGAGCUUGGACAACAUCCCAAUGCUACCAUGGGGUAGCAUUAGUAGGCACCCAUCUCCUCACCUUAGGAGCAUGGUGUCCUGCAGGGAAGACAUGCUAGGAGUAUUUGACUUGGAGGCUCAAAGAACUGGGAAGCUCUUGGCCAAGGGGAAGGGUGUUCUCAAGGUCUAGAGGACCCUCUGAAGAGAGGCCUGGUAACCUAGGGCCAGCUCUGGGCUCAGAUGAGGCAGGUUCAGGCAACCUUAGGUCCAGCCCAAGUCACCAGGGGAGAAAAAAGGCAGAGGCCCAGAACUUACACUCCACACUGCAAUGCUCCCUGUGCAAUUCUCCUGUGCUCCACUUUUGUGGAAGGGGGCCAGGAAGCCAAGGUCUAGGAGGAGGAGCUAACCGAGAGGUCAGCAGGCAAGGAAUAUCACUGCCUGCAAAGGUCUGGCCACAAUGGAGCAGGGAACCCCAGGCAUGUGAGGAGGAGGAGCGCAGAGAAAGAAAGGAGGAAGGGCUAUACAUGAGAAAAGGGAAAUGGAGACAGAAAAGCCUAUUUUGUACAUGGUGUAAGAGGUGAGUCUUGAUUUUAGUGUUGAUCUUACUUUGGAGUGCCACAGACCUAUCCAGCAGAACCUUCUGCAGUGAUGGAAAUGUUCUCCACCUGUGCUAUCCAAUAAGGUAACCACUAGCCACAUGUGGCGACUGAGCACUUGAAGUGUGGCUAGUGUGACUUAGGAACUGAAUUUGUAAUUGCAUUCAAUUUUAACUAACUUAAAUCCAAUCAGACACAUGUGGCUAGUGGCUACUGUACUAGACAGCACAGGCAUAGUUUCAGACCAGGAGAAGUAAAGUAGCUGAUAGUCAUUUCAGCCGAAUGUCCUCAUUCUCUCUGCCUGUUACCACUCCUGGGCCCUCAGCUUCAUCCCAGCUUUGCCCUGUGGAUGAACCCUGGUGGAUGGCAAUGUAGUUCUACCCUUGGGCUUGGGCAGAUUUUGGACUCUGAUAUUCUCAUUUAUUCCUGUGGGUCUCUGAGACUGAGCAGCACAGUGUAGGGAAGAGAGAUUGGGCAGAGUGCUAGGCAGCCAGGAAGCAUUACUGAAUCUUCAUGGUCCUAGUUCUGCAGCUUCAAAAGGGGCUUGAGCCUUGUGUUCUCUGCCCUUGGUUUCCAGUCAUAGGGCUUUGGUCACCACCCCAUUAUCAGUAGGAGGACCUGAGGCACUGAGGCCUGAUGUGGUAGCAUUCUGCAAGAUGCUUGGGGAAAAGUGUCAUAACACAAGGAUGAGAAAUGUAAUUUCAUCUGCCACUCACCUACUACAUGCCCAGACUGUCUAAUGCCACUCACUUGCUCCGUACCCAGACUACCUACACUAUAAAUGCUUUAAUAUCCAGUGUCCUGGAGACCCUGCUUCAUUUUGAAUCUAACAUGUCGUCUCUGACAUGUUAACAUGUGGUUCCCACAUCAGCUGAAUCAGCUCUGCUUCGAAGCCUAUUGUCAUCAUCUCACAUCCUCUUGUCACUUCAGAAUAUUGAAGGAGAACAUUAUCAACAGACGUGACUGUCCAUUUCUGGUCCCUGAGAGAACUUUAGGCACAGGGCUGCCUUGCCAGUGCUUCAAAGCCAACAUCUGAGUCCCUGGAGCUUGCUCUACCCUUGAGACUUACCCCUGCCCACCUCUUGGCCCAGGCACCAAGCUAGAGGGGCAGAACCUACACUGAAUCCUUCCCCUCCUCUGUUGAUUCAUAGUUCUUUAUCUCCUCUGUUAUCCUCCCUCCCCUUUGGGGCACGGCUGAUUUUUAUCCUCUCUACAGGAUACAAGGUUGGCUGGUCCCAAAACAGUAUUUGAAAGUGGUGAAAGGGAGUUGAUAGGAAAGAGAUGGAGCACAGUGUGGCCACAGGGGCCAUGGACCAGGGGCCAAGUGGGGUCUAGCCUGCUUCUUACUUCCAUCCCCAGAGUCAACAUUUCCUUAAGGCCAGAGUUUUCUCCCAGUCUUGAAGGCUGACCCACUCUCUCCAUACGCCAGAACUGAAGCCACCCUCAGGUCCCAGUUUAAGCUUCACCGGAGUCCUCUGCCUCUGGCUGCACCAGCUCUCUGAGGCACCAGAAAGAGCUUUUCUUUUUCUUUUUCUUCUUGUUUUUUUUUUUUUUUUUUUGAAACAGAGUCUCACUCUGUCAUCCAGGCUGGAGUGCAGUGGCACAAUCACAGCUCACUGCUGCAGCCUCAAACUCUCAGGUUCAAGAGAUCCUCCCACCUCAGCCGACUGAGUAGAUGGGACUACAGGUGCGUGCCACCGCACCCGGCAAAUUUUUGUAUUUUUUAUAGAGAUGGGGUCUUGCUAUGUUGCCCAGGCUGGUCUAGAACUCCUGGGCUCAAGCAGUCCUCUUGCCUUAGUCUUUCAAAGUGCUGGGAUUACAAGCAUAAGCAACUGCACCCAGUCCAGAAAGCUCUUUCUAAAGGGCAAAGCUAAUGGUAUCCUGCCCCUUGCAACAUCCACCAAUGGAUGUUCAAUGGCUCCCCAGUAGAGGCCAGACUCCUUAGCAUGCCUUGGAAGAUCUGUCAUGCUUGUUCCUCUUCUCCAGCCCACACUCUAACCAGGCUGGGAUGCUCAGCUUUUCUCCUCUACUCCACACUGAGCUGUGAUGGUCCUAUGGAAGGCCUAAUCCUCUGGGCUUGGCCAAGAUUAUUCACAGUUCCCUGUGAGCUACCUCUAAAGUCUGCCAAUUUCUUUUCUUCCCAGGCAGCGCCCUUACUCCACAUUGCCUUUCUGAUCUGCUCGGGCAUACUACCUCUGUGGCAUAGCCCUUGUCUCCCUAACGCCAGUCAUAGGUGCUUUGACAGAACCAAAAAGGGCCUAUCAGACGCUUCUAGGAUCUUUUUGGUUUUGUCACAGCACCUAAGUGAGGCCUUACAAUUUUAAUUUCCUUAUCUGUCCCUGAACCCACUCCUAGGAACCAGCACAUGUUGGGCUCAUUCAUAUCAGUUUGGCUAAAUGGAAUGAAGUCCACCCUGGUCACCAGCCCAGGAAGCUUUCUCUUGCCCAAAGCCAGAUGAGAGAAUGAAUGCAGGACCUACAGUUGGUAGAGUUUACCAAGCACUUUUUACAAAUUGGUAUUAAGCUGUUGUUUCCCACAUGUGGCCUCUACCCCUAGCCCUCUACUCUCAAGGGCAGAGACCCAGAUGGGGCUGGUGCAGUCUCUUUCACAGAGUAGGUGCUCCAUACAUAGUUAUUGGAUGAAGCUGAGCUCAGACUUCAGUUUCGUUGUCCUCGCUGUUUUAUUUUUUGUUUUCUGGUGUACAGAGCCAUGCAAAGAAGUCUCAUGGACAACUGGUGCAUGCCCUUUCUCCUUACCCACUCUGCCCUUCAUGAACCUAGAGUCAGAGACUCCAAAGCUGGGGCCAGCAUGUUCUCCCCCAUCUCUGGACUGCCCUCUUGGGACCCACUUCCCACAGCCUCCUCCAUCCCCCUCCACAUCUGAUUCAUGGAUGCUCCUGCUCUGCAGGGCUUUGGUUGUGGCUGCUUCUCCACUGCUCUGCUGCUUGCUCAGCCAGAGCCCUGCCAAGCCUCCUCCUCCACACCUGAUGGCGUACCUGGCUGGGUUCUCAGCCUCACUUGGGAUUGCUUUCUUUCGUUCCAAGUUGGGACCAACUUGUCCUUUGAAAGAACCUCCAUGGUGCCAGGUCUAUCAUCAGUUUGCCUCCCAACUCCUUCUCUGUCCCUUGGUCUGCUCCCUGGGUGAAUUCUCCUAGAGCAACGUUGAUGCCUUCCCUACACCAUCCUUGGCACUAAACCACACUCGGCCUCCUUCAGCCUUGAUUAUGUGGGUGUUUUAUCUCUCUCAAUCAUGUUGUGGAUUCCUCGAGAGCAGGCUUGGGGGCUCAGCACAGCUUUGUAGCCUCCCACAUUCUCCAUCCCACAGACCCCUGCACAUGGUAAGCUUUAAUGCCUUCUUAUUGAUUACUCAGAAGUGGAGGCUCAUUAAGGUGUGUGUGAAAUUUGGAUUCCCUUCUGUUAGGCAAUGGAACGUGGGUUCUCUUUCGUUAGGACAGUGUUUCCCAAAGUGUGUUCUAUGGGCUGUAGGCUAUUAAUAGGUGUUGUAGGACAAAGAGACCCGUGAUUAACUAAAGCACAUUUCUUAGAGCCCUAAUAUGUUAAUGAACGUUGUGAUAUUCCAAGAAGAAAGGUGUGGGAACUCAAGAUCAACAUGGCUUAGGGCAAGCAGAUACAGAACCCUAAGAUAGUGCUCAGGAUGGUGGAGAACAUCUACUUAUCUCAGAUAAAGGUUAGAAGGCAUUGCUUCUCAGCCUUUUGGCUAAGACCAAGUGUAAGAUGGAAGGCAACUGGUUAGACAAAGACUAGGGUAAGAUCAACUAAUAAAUCCAACCUCACACAGAUACACUCUGAAUCACAGGGCUCACACAGCUAAUGCUAAAUGGGGGUCCCAUAGGGUGAGGGGAACAGGAGUCUCUUCUCUCUCAGGUGUCUAUCUCCUCUUAACCCAAGGAGGUAGUGGGCCAUCAUCAAUAUCUUAACCAAUAAACCUUCACUCAAACCACGUACACCUGGGUGCAACAGCCAGAUUCCAGAUACUGAAUUUCUAACUAAGCUGCAGACCUAGGGAUUUUCUAAGUCAGGACUUAUUUGCCAAAUAGGGGCUUUCUGAGAUAGGACUGGCCAUAGCCAGUGGCCAUAGCCAACAAAUUUGGCUAAGGAACUUUUUUUUUUUUAAUACCUCAUAGGAUUGAUAUUUCUAGAACAGUACCUUGGUACAUGUGUCUUGGAGGCACUCACCUGUCUUCACCAUCAGAGAGGUCACCAUUAAUGUUUUGUGAUCCUUCUGGGCAACUGUCCCAUCACGCAAAUCUCCCAGGCUCACAAUGGAUGGUAAGACUAGCAUUGCCAUUGUCCCCAUUGAACAGAUGAGGGAAGGCAGAGAGGUCACUGGAAUGGCAAGUCAGGAGAUAUGCAUUUGAGAUUCUGCUCCAUCAUCUACUAGAUGUGGGAUAUCUGUCUCUGAAAUGAGAAUAUCUAUCUCCCAACGGUACUGAUGGGAUGAAAUGAAGAUGUGUAUUAGAGGACUGCAUAAGACCCAUCACUCCAUGACAUAUUUAUUGGACCCAUGCUAUGUAGCUGUCUAUAAAGAAUAGCUACUGUUUGCUGAGUCUGUAGGGUAUAUAGGGUAUCAUACACAAUUCUUGGCUCUUUCUGUAUGAAAUUUAAUGUAAUCCUUACAAUAACCUCAUGGAGUUGGUUAUUAUAAUCCCCAUUUUAUAGAUGAGGAGACUGUGAUUUGAGGAGAUUUGCCCAAGUUUGUAUCCUUAUACUGAUAACCAGAAAACUUGAACUCAGAGCCAAAUUCAAAGCCCACAUUCCAUGCUCUUUAAUAUUAGGAGUUAAGACGCUAGUGCUAAAAAAAAAAAAAAUUAAAUAAAGCUUACUUCACAUGCAAAAACAAAUGAAAAAGAUACUAGGUAUAGGCUACACUGUAUGUGGUUCUAUAUAAUGAAGAUUAACCAUAUUAAUAUUCAUCUUUAAAAUUAAAAGCAGUAAAAGUUAAAGCUGGUGUUAAAAGAACUAUGUCCAAAGCUUAGUUCCAGGAGUUACUGGUGUAGCAAAUAUCUUUGCUGUCUGUCUCUCAUUUUCUUCCUUUGGAACCCAGGGGGAAAUUGCCACCUAUUUCCCAAGGCUGUUACAAGAAGUAAAUUGACCUAGAAUAUGCUAAGCAGCUACAGCAGUGCCUGGCUGUUGGCAGACACUCAAUGAGUAUAGCUGAAUGAGAUUCUUUGUAGCUUAUAAUCUAACAAUGACACAUAUUAACAUGUUGCAGAUAUACUGAUUUUUAACAACUGAGCAUAAUACAGGUGAAAAUAUUAGUGCUUGUUUUUUUAUCAUUGUGUUUUAACAAUCAGGUGAUAAGACCUGAGGGCAAGGCAGGAUCCCCGCACAAUAACCUAGAUAAGAGCACAGACUCUGAGCCACACAGCCUUGGUCAAAUCCACUUACCAGCUUUAGGCCCUGAGGAAAGUCACUUAGCCUCUCUAUGCCUGUUCCUUCAUCUGUAGAAUGAUGGGGUGGUUGUGAGGAUUAUGAGAGUUAAUGUAUGCAAAGCAUUUAGAACAGUGACUGGUAUACAGUAAGUGCUAUGGAAGCAUCCCCUUCCCCUACCUGCUGUCUUUCUGAUCCCUUCAGAUACUUAUAAAUGCCAAGAAGAGGUUUGGAUAACAUUCCAUGCUUUGGGUUUUGUUUUGGUUUGUUUUUUGUUUGUUUUGUUUUGUUUUUGCUUGUUUUGUUUUUUGUUUUUUGAGACAGAGUUUCACUCUUGUUGCCCAGGCUGGAGUGCAAUGGCGCAAUCUCUGCUCACCGCAACCUCCACCUCCUGGAUUCAAGUGAUUCUCCUGCCUCAGCCUCCUGAGUAGCUGGGAUUACAGGCGUGCACCACCACACCCGGCUAAUUUUGUAUUUUUAGUAGAGGCAGGGUUUCACCAUGUUGGUCAGGCUGGUCUUGAACUCCUGACCUCAGGUGAUCCCCCUGCCUCAGCCUCCCAAAGUGCUGGGUAUACAGGCGUGAGCCACUGUGCCCAGCACUUUGGUAUUUUUGUGUUGCACGUUUUAUCUCCCCUAUGAUAUCUAAGCAACUCGAGGGCAUGAUUCUAUCUGAUUUUGCCUACACAGGGCUCACCUAAAAUAAAUGCUCAAAAACUGUGGAAUCCAUGAAGAAACCAAUGAACAUCCUGGGGGGUCCAGCUCUGAGGGGCACCCAGGGCUGUGUGUUCCCCCACCCCAUGGCUAAGCUCCUUCACUGCUCUGAGCUCCCACAUUUCCUGGCUGCAGAAGUCCCAAGAAGAGUAUGUGUGCUCUGAAGAGGCCAACAGAGGCUGUAGCAGUCCAGCUGCUGCUCCCCACAACCCUUUGGCCAGUCCAUUUACACUUAAGACCACAGAUUUCGCCUGAGAGGCUGACAGACUAAGGGCUCAAAAGCACCUGGGCAUUAUGAUGUAAGGAAAAGCCCCCUCCUUCCUGGCCCCCAUCUGAAAGUCCACCAUCUUUUUCUAGGCACCCUCUGGGGCACACUAAACCAUUAGCUAAGAGACUUUCUGCAGCUCAGGGUAGGAAAAGGUGAUCUGAGCCCUAAGGAACUAGGAUGGGGAGGAGGGAAAGAGGCCAGCUUCUGGGGCCUUGGGAAGAGGAAUUUUUGUCUCUCUUCUCCAGGACCCUGGCAGUUAGGGUCUGGCUCACAGAAUAUCAGAGGGAAAGGAGCCUCAGAAAUUCUCAGUCCCCAAGCCUCCUAGGGAAGUGACCGGCAAUGGCAGACAAUGCUGUUCUCACAUCUGUUCCAGGCUCAUUCCUCACUCCUGUCUUCCCACACUCUCCCUAAACACUUGUGUUGAUGUUCAACAUAUGAGCCAUCCUUCCGGGAGGCCACGUGGCACGGCUGCCCAAGCUUGAGCUUUGGGAACAAUCAGACCUGAUUUCAAAUGUGGACUCUGCCAAUUACUGUCUAUGUGAUGCUGGCCAAGUUCCUCAACCUCCCUGAGCUUUAACUUCCAGUAUUACUAAUGUUACUAUUUCAAUUUGGCUAAUUUCAAAUAUUGCCAAAAUUGAUGUGAGCUAAUUAUGUUAAGUCUCCACAAUGCCUAGCACAUAGUAAGUGUUCAGCAAAUUAUGAUUGGGGCAUACAGUGUCAAGUCUAGACAUACUGUACACUCCCCCUUUUCCUCUGUUUUUAUCUAACUGAAAGCCAGUCAGUCUCAACAUGGCAUCAGGCAGCCCAGGAUGAGGGUGAGAAAGCUGGAGGGCAGGCCAUCCUCUUGUUUGGGCAACCUGAUAGAGGAAGGCCAAAGAGUUACAGGCUGAGUUUUCAACUGCACCUCAUGUCUGGAUGCAUGUGCAAAGGCAUUUGCCAAGCAGGCUGAGCCAUUCUUAUGCCAUGAACCCAUCCCCUCUGAAUUAGCUGUCUCCCCUGGUCCCAUUCCCUACUUGCUUUUCUCCAGCAAAGACUCUGGGGGUCUGAGUAGAAGGGUUGGAUGCUUGAUUGGGGAAAGAUACACAAGAAACAUCAUAAGACUUAUAAUAGUAAUGAUCAAUAACAACAAACUUUUGAGGGCCAACUCUAUGCCUGGCACAUUGUGUGCCCAUGACUUCACUUCAUUAUCAACAACCCUAAAAAAGAGGUGCUUUUAUUAUCCCCAUCUUAUAGAUGAAGAAACUGAGGCUCAGAGAGAUCCAAAAACUUGUACAUGGUCGGCACUUUCCCAUAAGGUGUCUCAUUUAAUCCUCACAACUACUCCAUCAACAGGGUAUACUUAGCCCCAAGAAGAAAACCCAGGCUCAGAGAGUAAAGUGACUUGCCCAAGAUCACACAGUUAGUAAGCAGGAAACUCAGGAUUCAUACUGACUACUGGUUUCCAAGGACUUGUUAUUUCUACUGGGGUGCACCUUCUACAACACCCCAUCUGCUGGUUUUGCAGUUUUGCUUUGCUCCCAGUCCAAGAUCCAUUUUCUGCCUGCUCCAUGCUCCAGGAGACAAAUCUCUGUGCAUAGUAUCACAGGGCUCUCCUGUCUUCUGUCUUCCAGUUUGGGUUAGAUUAACAGGAAGCUUUGGCAGGAGAUCAAAGGCAGGAGACAGGUCAGGAUGUUUCUUCUGCUCCCUCCUUCCCUGCCUUGCUUUAAUUCUACGACUACAACUCCUUCUGGGCAGCCCCCUUGCAUGGCUCCAACACUUUCUGGGUCCUGAGGACUCCAUUCUUCCAUGCAUCUCCUCAGGUUGAGAGUAGGAAGAGCUUCCUGUUGUUGCUGGUCCCUACCUGUCUCAGCAUUCCUUGUUGAUUCCCUUAACCUUGCCGUACUUCUGCAAAUGGUUCCCUCAUGCAAUUACCUUCAUAAUCCCAGUUGAGGAUCCUUCUGUUUCCUGCUGGGACCUGACCAAGCCUCCUAAUGUUCAUCUGAGGCCGCUCCUUUUGGAGCUACUUGGAAGGAAGGCCAAUGGCUUCUUUGCUGAUCAAACAGGUUCAGGUCUUUCCCAAACUAAUUAGCAGAUAGACAGGACAGUGGCCAGGGACUGGAGGCUGGCUCUUGAUGCUGUCCCUGCCUCCGUCCAUCUGGAAUUACAGUUUGGAGCAGCUCAGCCUCUCCAAGUCCAAUGCCCUAUCUUUUUUUUUUGUUUUUUUCCAAUUGAUGCAACUCAGUAAUUUUUAUUGCAACUGGAAGACAAUGCAUCACAGAAACUUUAUGGUGGGUCUGUGGAAGAGUGUUAUUUACAAGAAAUGAUGAAAUAGUUUGUCUUUGGCAAUAUGAUUACAUACAAAGAAUGCAAAAUGCAGGUAUGGAUGCCUUCCAAGCAACACCAUCAAGUCCCUAGAGUUCGGCUGAUGGCACCUGCCUCCACGUUUUUUCUUUAGGUUCACACGAUCAUAACUGAACAUCACGUUCUUUCUCCUUUAUGGUUCUCCCUUUCUAUUCAUGAUAUUGGCAGUUUCACAAAGAAAAUACAGAAAAAAAAUUGGCUUUUGAAAAAUUAUUACUCUCAUAAAUUAAUUUGGCCGUGUAGGUCUAUUGGCCAGCCAAGGUCAGACGACCCUAAGCAUCAACAGUAAACCUCUUGGUCUUCUGAUUGCUUUAUCACUUUUUUUUUCUGUAAAACAAAACAAAACUGGGAAAUGUUACAGAAUCAGAGUAUUAAAAAAUAUACAAGUGUAUAUGCUUCCCAGACACACAUGGAUACAUUUUUCCUCCACAUUUUCACCAUGGCAGUAUAAAGUAGUGAGUGUGAAUGACACAGCAUGAAACUGGUUACUGAAUCAGCUAUGAGCUCAGAUGGCCUCAACAUACAUACUUAAGAAAUGUUGCAUGUUUAAAUAACUGAGAGUGUGCUAAAUCUCAUCCAAAAAAAAGGAGGAGAGGGGCUGGGGAACUCAGGCCACAGUCAUGAAAGGAUGAAUACAAUUUCUAGGUUUAACAGGUUCACCAUAUUGAAGUCUUUGAUAAUCCAAUAUGGAAUAUCAAUUAUUUUGCAAAAGGUAGAGAAAGCAGUUCUCAACUUUUGCAAAUGAAAUACAAUGGAAAAACACUGUUGUAUAUAUUCCAAAUAAAUAGUCUUGAUUUCAUCACUAACAAAACAACAGGAAGGGUACUCGUGAGCAUCUCACAGUUAAGUCAGAAAUGAUCAUUCACACAGGUCUGAUUUCAGAAGUACAACAGCAAGAUGCAGCACCAUAGACACAUCGGUUUCGGCUGUUAAAAGAUGGAUCAUUUUAAAAACUGCGUUUUCCUUACUUAAUUUUUGGUCAGUGAAGCUAGCAGUUGUUUGCUGAACUGUGGAAGAACUGCAAGGUCACACACAUUAUUCAUGAUAAAGCAACUGAGCUGACAUGUCUGUGCUUAAUUCAGAAUAACCAUUAGUGGGAGGCUGAGGCAGGAGAAUGGCGUUAACCCGGGAGGCAGAGCUUUCAGUGAGCUGAGAUUGCGCCACUGCACUCCAGCCUGGGCGACAGAGAGAGAGAAAAAAAAAAAUAGAAUAACCAGUAGGAGAGAGAGAAAAUACAAGGAGUUAACGACCAUCGCCGGUGCUCUCUCAAAGGAAGAGGGGUUAACAGAUGAAUUUACAAAGGUAUGCAGAUCUAUACAGAACACUGAAUGCCAUGUGUAAAUCCUCAUGAAACUCCAGAAACGGGAACACCACACAAUGUAUAUACUUUGAUUUACACAUUCCGUUACAAAGGAAAAAAAGACACCAUUACAACUUUGUAACUGUGUUAACUGCAAUAUAAACCAAGUCCAGAGUUUGGCAGGUAACUAAAAGAGGGUUAUCACCUAGGUUAUAUGGCGAAAGUGUUGAUGUAUAUUACAUAUAGUAGCAUAAUUAAUAAAAAAGUAUUAUUUAAAUUAGAUCACAGUGCUGCAUUAUGUGCAUAACAGUGUUUGAUAUAGUAUUGGUGGGCUGGGACCUGCAACACUAAGGACUUAACUGUCAACACUGGGAAGUCAUAAUCAAGAGGAAACACAGAGUUCCAUGUUUUCUUUUGGUGGCAAAAAAAAUCCUGAAGAUUAAAGAAAAGUACUUCUCUACAGAAACAUAAAAAUCAGUUGCAACAUCUGGGCAGCUGUGAUCCACCAGAAAGAAACGAGUCCCAACCUGAAUUAAAGGGAAAGAGAAAUCACAUGGAAUUUAAUCCAAUCUCAUCUAGAAAAGCUUCCCAUUGGUCGGGCGCGGUGGCUCACGCCUUUAAUCCCAGCACUUUCGGAGGCCGAGGCGGGCGGAUCACGAGGUCAGGAAAUCGAGACCAUCCUGGCUAACAAGGUGAAACCCUGUCUCU
rnacentral:lncRNA from 1 species